UAAUGAUGAUGAUGAUGAUGAUGAUGAUGAUGAUGAUGAUGAUGAUGAUGAUGAUGAUGACGAUCAUCAUCAACAUCAUCAUCGUCAUCAUACACG
rnacentral:pre_miRNA from 1 species